GAUGAACGCUGGCGGCGUGCCUAAUACAUGCAAGUCGAGCGAACGGACGAGAAGCUUGCUUCUCUGAUGUUAGCGGCGGACGGGUGAGUAACACGUGGAUAACCUACCUAUAAGACUGGGAUAACUUCGGGAAACCGUAGCUAAUACCGGAUAAUAUUUUGAACCGCAUGGUUCAAAAGUGAAAGACGGUCUUGCUGUCACUUAUAGAUGGAUCCGCGCUGCAUUAGCUAGUUGGUAAGGUAACGGCUUACCAAGGCAACGAUGCAUAGCCGACCUGAGAGGGUGAUCGGCCACACUGGAACUGAGACACGGUCCAGACUCCUACGGGAGGCAGCAGCAGGGAAUCUUCCGCAAUGGGCGAAAGCCUGACGGAGCAACGCCGCGUGAGUGAUGAAGGUCUUCGGAUCGUAAAACUCUGUUAUUAGGGAAGAACAUAUGUGUAAGUAACUGUGCACAUCUUGACGGUACCUAAUCAGAAAGCCACGGCUAACUACGUG
rnacentral:rRNA from 1 species